rnacentral:rRNA from 1 species
GACGAACGCUGGCGGCGUGCUUAACACAUGCAAGUCGAACGGAGUGGCGAACGGGUGAGUAACACGUGGGUGACCUGCCCUGCACUUCGGGAUAAGCCUGGGAAACUGGGUCUAAUACCGGAUAGUGUGGGAUGGGCCCGCGGCCUAUCAGCUUGUUGGUGGGGUAAUGGCCUACCAAGGCGGCGCCGGGUAGCCGGCCUGGGAGGGUGGGCGGCCACAUUGGGACUGAGGCGCGGCCGAGACUCCGACGGGAGGGAGCAGUGGGGAAUAUUGCACAAUGGGCGGAAGCUGGAUGCAGCGACGCCGCGUGGGGGAUGAUGGCCUUCGUGUUGUAAACUCCUUUCACCAUCGACGCGGUAGAUGGAGGAGGAGGACCGGGUAACUACGUGGCAGGAGCCGCGGUAAUUC